UUCAAGCAUGUAAUUCAGAAUUCAGAUGUUAGCAUUAAAAGAUCGUCAGAUAGAAAGCUGAUUAAACAUUCCCAAAACGUCCCAAGAUUGAUGUUUUGAAUAGGGCCUCUCAGAAAUGAGUGCAAAACAUAUACUUUUGUUAAGUAUGUCUUAGGUGAAAAGCUAGACUGCACACUGAUCUGACUCUCUCCAAUUCUGAACUACUGUUCAGGAGCAAUUGUAUAUGAGAUUGAAAUAAGGAGCAGAUUCUUUCUCAUUUUAGAUAAAAUGGCUAAAAUAGUUCCCUCACUGAAGUCUUGUUCAAUGAAUUUCCAAUUAGAGUACAGGUUUCAAUACCUGGAGUCAGUCAUACUCACAGUGGGGAGAGAUUAGGCUUUCUAGAGAGGCAGAAAUAUAAAAAGCUAAAUUCUGUUAUGGGUGGUUAGGAGAAGCAUCUCUCUUUACCUUGAUGAUAUCAGCAGUUAUUAUGGAAAAUGCCAUUAUAUGGGAACCAAAUCUUAUCUCAUGAAGGGACUGCACAUCUAUCUACCUCUUAAAGGAAAAAAGUUCGAUUUGCAGAGACACAGGUACCCUUGGAGAACCUUCAGAGGUUGGGGAAGGAAUAGACAAACCAUCUGGAGGGCUGGUCUUUAAAGAAAGUUGAAAUGUCCAUGAAACAGAGUUAAUGUAUCUGAGGAGGAAAGUUUAUACGUGAGGUGGUAUGGCUGUUUUGUCCUGCUGGAAGAGCAAAGGCUCUCAGCUCUAAAUUAUCAAACCUCAUCUGGCCAGUAGAUGUAGGCCAACUGCAAUACACAGGUCAUUUCUCCACAAAGAAUGUACAGCCCGCCUUCCGUAUAGGGGGUGCAGAACCUGUGGAUACUGAGGGCCAACUGUGCCAUUUUACACAAGGAACUUGAGCAUCUGAGCAUUCUGGUAUCCACGGCGGUCCUGGAACCAACAUCCACGGAGGGACGAGUGUAUCUCUAGUCUAUUCUCCCAUGGUAAAUACGGUCCCGUCACUGGUAAGCCAGGCCAAUAUCUGGGAGUUUUCAUGCUUGGGUCUGGGCUCCUCAAAGAGAAAAGAGCUCCCUCAUGGUCAGGCCAUCUACAUUCCAUAAGUACUUGGGACUGUCUGUGACAUGAAGACCCGGAGCUAAAUCCCGAAGACACUGCUCUCACAGAACUCACAUUCUCCUGCUCCUAAAGAAAAGUUGACCUCAUCAACUGUUCCUCCCUGGAAUUUUCAUUCCUCCUUCGGUGAACUCCCCAUUGGCUUAUGAGCUGCGUGAGGGGAGGGAACGUGGCUCCUUCCUCUUCCCCGUCCCCCCAGUUCAGUCCAUACUUAGCAGCUGUGCUCAGUCAAUACUGUUGAGUAGAGCUUCAGCUUGACUUGCCUUCUGUCAUAGGCUCUUUCUCUUUAUUUGACAGUGAUUUGUUUUCCUGUUGCCCUUCAGCACUCCUACAACAAACCAGGUUUAAUUCACAUUGCUGUGAAAACAUUCACAGAGAGCCCUGCUUGCUAAACCACCUGAGGACACAUGCAAUGACAAGGAAAGAAGAUGACCAGGGGCCAUGUGCUAAUUUUAAGACACUUAACACUGAUUUUGGUUCACCAAGCAUGGAAAGAAAAAUCACUGAUGAACUGAAGCAAUAUAUUUUAAAAGAAUUCUUGCAAUGACUUGUCCAAGACUACAAAAAGAAAAAAAAAAUUACAAAUAGGGAUCAAUAUGGCAACACGUUCAUUCACCUUGUCUUUCAAAAAUUAUAUUUGCGGGACUUCCCUGGUGGCGCAGUGGUUAAGAAUCUGCCUACCAAUGCAGGGGACACGGGUUUGAGCCCUGGUCCGGGAAGAUCCCACAUGCUGCAGAGCAACUAAGCCCGUGAGCCACAACUACUGAGCCUGCGCUCUAGAGGCUGCAAGCCACAACUACUGAAGCCCACGUGCUGCAACUACUGAAGCCCGCACACCUAGAGCCCAUGCUCGGCAACAAGAGAAGCCACCGCAAUGAGAAGCCCACGCACCGCAACGAAGAGUAGCCCCUGCUCGUCGCAACUAGAGAAAGCCUGUGCACAGCAACGAAGA